AUGGGUCUAAGAAAGUACAGUGCCGCGAGGAGCGGUGAAAACCCUAGCCAAUCCUCUCUCGUCCCCGCGCCUCCAUUCUCCUCCCUCCACGCUAUCCUCCCGCGCCUCCCUCAUAGCCCCGGCGCGGCGCCGCCUCCACCACCUCCUCCUCUCUCUGCUUGCCUCCUCUCUCGCUCAAGAAGGCGGACCGAGCGGCGGCGGCAUAUUGUCCGUAGAUGGAGAAGGCGGACACGAGCGGCGGCGCCAUCUUGUCCGCGGAUGGCAGACGUGUUUCUUGCCGCCGCCGCUGCUCCUCUCCCUCGCCUCCUCUGCGACGCUUCCUCCUCUUCUCUUCUCCCGCUCCAGUCAUGGCGAUGGCGGCCGGGCAGGGAAGCGGCGGCCGGGCCAGGCAGGGCGGCGGCGGCCGGGAACGGAGAAGCGGCCGGGCUGGGAGAGCGUCCUCGUCGCCUUCAACCUCCCCACGCGAGAGAGGAAAAAGUAGGGACGGUGAAGCCUUGGGUUACAUGA
rnacentral:rRNA from 1 species